rnacentral:rRNA from 1 species
GACGAACCGUGCGAACGUUGUUCGGAAUCACUGGGCUUAAAGGGCGCGUAGGCGGGCGGUCAAGUCAGAGGUGAAAUCCCACGGCUCAACCGUGGAAGUGCCCCUGAUACUGAUCGCCUCGAGGGAGGUAGGGGCGGUGCGGGAACUUCCGGUGGAGCGGUGAAAUGCGUAGAUAUCGGAAGGAACACCGAUGGCGAAAGCAGCGCGCUGGACCUUUACUGACGCUGAGGCGCGAAAGCCAGGGGAGGCAAAACGGGGA